rnacentral:rRNA from 1 species
UUAGGAAUCUUCCACAAUGGGCGAAAGCCUGAUGGAGCGACGCCGCGUGAGGGAUGAAGGCCUUAGGGUUGUAAACCUCUAAAAGAGGGACGAUAAUGACGGUACCUCUUGAAUAGCACCGGCUAACUCCGUGCCAGCAGCCGCGGUAAUACGGAGGGUGCAAGCGUUAUCCGGAAUCACUGGGCGUAAAGGGCGCGUAGGCGGUCUGUUAAGUCCGAUGUUAAAUCCCGGGGCUCAACCCCGGAUAAGCGUUGGAUACUGGCAGGCCAGACGGUUGGAGAGGCGAGUGGAAUUACCAGUGUAGCGGUGGAAUGCGUAGAUACUGGUAGGAACACCCAUUGCGAAGGCAGCUCGCUGGACAACACGUGACGCUGAGGCGCGAAAGUGUGGGGAGCAAGCC